rnacentral:rRNA from 1 species
AACGAACGCUGGCGGCAGGCCUAACACAUGCAAGUCGAACGCUCCAGCAAUGGAGAGUGGCAGACGGGUGAGUAACGCGUGGGAACCUUCCCUAUGGUUCGGAAUAGCUCAGGGAAACUUGAGGUAAUACCGGAUAAGCCCUUCGGGGGAAAGGAUUUAUCGCCAUUGGAUGGGCCCGCGUAGGAUUAGCUAGUUGGUGAGGUAACGGCUCACCAAGGCGACGAUCCUUAGCUGGUCUGAGAGGAUGAUCAGCCACACUGGGACUGAGACACGGCCCAGACUCCUACGGGAGGCAGCAGUGGGGAAUAUUGGACAAUGGGCGCAAGCCUGAUCCAGCCAUGCCGCGUGAGUGACGAAGGCCUUAGGGUUGUAAAGCUCUUUUGGCGGGAAGAUAAUGACGGUACCGCAGAAUAAGCUCCGCUAACUUCGUGCCAGCCGCCGCAGUAAG